GGCUCUGCUAUCACUUCUGGAUGGACCCGCGGCGUAUUAGCUAGUUGGUGAGGUAAAGGCUCACCAAGGCAGUGAUACGUAGCCGACCUGAGAGGGUAAUCGGCCACAUUGGGACUGAGACACGGCCCAGACUCCUACGGGAGGCAGCAGUAGGGAAUCUUCCACAAUGGACGCAAGUCUGAUGGAGCAACGCCGCGUGAGUGAAGAAGGGUUUCGGCUCGUAAAGCUCUGUUGUUAAAGAAGAACGUGGGUAAGAGUAACUGUUUACCCAGUGACGGUAUUUAACCAGAAAGCCACGGCUAACUACGUGCCAGCAGCCGCGGUAAUACGUAGGUGGCAAGCGUUAUCCGGAUUUAUUGGGCGUAAAGCGAGCGCAGGCGGUCUUUUAAGUCUAAUGUGAAAGCCUUCGGCUCAACCGAAGAAGUGCAUUGGAAACUGGGAGACUUGAGUGCAGAAGAGGACAGUGGAACUCCAUGUGUAGCGGUGAAAUGCGUAGAUAUAUGGAAGAACACCAGUGGCGAAGGCGGCUGUCUGGUCUGCAACUGACGCUGAGGCUCGAAAGCAUGGGUAGCGAACAGGAUUAGAUACCCUGGUAGUCCAUGCCGUAAACGAUGAUUACUAAGUGUUGGAGGGUUUCCGCCCUUCAGUGCUGCAGCUAACGCAUUAAGUAAUCCGCCUGGGGAGUACGACCGCAAGGUUGAAACUCAAAAGAAUUGACGGGGGCCCGCACAAGCGGUGGAGCAUGUGGUUUAAUUCGAAGCUACGCGAAGAACCUUACCAGGUCUUGACAUCUUCUGACAGUCUAAGAGAUUAGAGGUUCCCUUCGGGGACAGAAUGACAGGUGGUGCAUGGUUGUCGUCAGCUCGUGUCGUGAGAUGUUGGGUUAAGUCCCGCAACGAGCGCAACCCUUAUUACUAGUUGCCAGCAUUAAGUUGGGCACUCUAKUGASACUGCCGGUGACAAACCRGARGAAGGUGRGGACGACGUCAAAUCAUCAUGCCCCUUAUGACCUGGGCUACACACGUSCUACAAUGGAUGGUACAACGAGUCGCGARACCGCGAGGUUAAGCUAAUCUCUUAAAACCAUUCUCAGUUCGGACUGUAGGCUGCAACUCGCCUACACGAAGUCGGAAUCSCUAGUAAUCGCGGAUCAGCAUGCCGCGGUGAAUAC
rnacentral:rRNA from 1 species